rnacentral:rRNA from 1 species
AGAGUUUGAUCAUGGCUCAGGAUGAACGCUAGCGGCAGGCUUAAUACAUGCAAGUCGAGGGGCAGCAGCUUUAUAGCAAUAUAGAGGCUGGCGACCGGCAAACGGGUGCGGAACACGUACACAACCUUCCUUUAAGUGGGGGAUAGCCCAUAGAAAUGUGGAUUAAUACCCCGUAAUAUUAUUGAAGUGGCAUCACUUUAUAAUUAUAGUUUCGACGCUUGAAGAUGGGUGUGCGGCUGAUUAGGUAGUUGGCGGGGUAAAGGCCCACCAAGCCUUCGAUCAGUAGCUGAUGUGAGAGCAUGAUCAGCCACACGGGCACUGAGACACGGGCCCGACUCCUACGGGAGGCAGCAGUAAGGAAUAUUGGUCAAUGGACGCAAGUCUGAACCACCCAUGCCGCGUGAAGGAUGAAGGUCCUCUGGAUUGUAAACUUCUUUUAUAGGGGGCGAAAAAAGGGAAUUCUUUCUCACUUGACAGUACCCUAUGAAUAAGCACCGGCUAACUCCGUGCCAGCAGCCGCGGUAAUACGGAGGGUGCAAGCGUUAUCCGGAUUCACUGGGUUUAAAG